GGGGAUAUAGCUCAGUUGGUAGAGUGCUUGCUUAGCAUGCACAAGACCCUGGGUUCAAACCCCAGCACCACCA
rfam:Ictidomys tridecemlineatus contig068074, whole genome shotgun sequence.